UGCGAAGGUAAGAAAAAGAUAUCUAUUAUUUAUAUUCAUAUAAAAUGUUAUAUAAUUCCAAAAAGUAACAUCAAAGUUUCUAUGAACGCAGGAACAUGCAAGAAGAAUUUCAGCAUCUAAUCAGGAAACAAUAUCUAUAACAAGAGUGGUGGAAGAACAAACCAAGGCCAUUAGAGAAAGAACAAACCAAGGCCAUUAGAGAACCAAGUGUGGCACCACAGUUUGAUGGUUUGCAUUGUUUUGAAACAUUUGUUAUGAACAAGAAACUUGCAAGAGAGAUUUCAGCAUCUAAUCAAGAAACAAUAUCUACAACAAGAGUAGUGGAAGAACAAACCAAGGCCAGUAGGAAACCAAGUGUGGCACCACAGUUUGAUGGUUUGCAUUGUUUUGAAACAUUUGUUAUGAAUUAAAUUCUCUGAAAGAUGUACAACUUAACUGAUUCUGUGAGUUAAAUAAAACAGUAGAAGAAUUCAUAUUUGUUCUUUUAACUAAUUUGUUUCAAUUUAUUUCAAAUCAUUCAAGAUAGACAUAGACACAUGGUUAAUUUCCACUGUAAACCAUCCUUAAUUGUUAAACGUAACAACAUUGCAUGCUACAACAGACUUAAUUAACCGGGAAAUUUGAAAAAAAAGAAUGAAAUUUUAUGAUGUAACUGAGUUUAUACAACCAUCAUACUCUGUAGUCUGGACCAACAAUUUUUCACGGUCCAAAUCAGGAAAAACUUCAAUGACUACCCCUCAACACUAGCCAAUGGUAAAUUAUAUUAUUUUCCAAUCGACAUUAUUUUUUUUAUAAUGAUUUUGCCUACAACAAUAAAAUCUAAGGUUCUAAUAGAACUCCUUCAAUUGCUUGUUCUAUAUAAUGGAUUACACCUAUCAUCAUCUUCUACCUAUAAUGGCAAAUCUUGCAACACCAAAUAUACAAGCAAUUUUAAGAAAAAUAGCCUAUAAAAAUGCACAAAUCGUUUUACACAGUGAACAUAUUACAAGCUGUUAGGCAUUUGAAACGUGGUAUGUUCAAGAUCCGAAAAUGAUCAAAUAAAAAAUCAAGAACUGCAAGCUAUCAUAUGCAUGGCACUUAUACAUUGUGCUUAAUGAAGAUAGAUCAGUGAACCUAAAUUGCAAGCAUAACAGAAGCAAACUAAGGCCUUCCUCCACCCAUACCCUAUCUUUUAAUUAGGCUCAAAUGACAAGCAAACCAGAAAAAAA